CACAAUCAUUUAAUAAAGCCCAUCAGAACUUCAAAUUUAUUCGGGUUAAUUUUGUUUUUUAACAAUUUCCAGGGAAGAACUUGAUGUUCUUCCGGAAAUAGCCUCGCUCUGGUCUCGUUCAUGAGAUGGGUUGUCCAGAUGUCCAGCCGGCCCACGUAGAAAGGCUUUGAGCAGAGCCCUAUAAAAAUAGAUUUUUCUAAAGCAUUUCUUCCACACGCUUUCGACUCUGCAGGCCAAAACCCAACCCAGAUGUGGACAUGUUCCCCGGCAGAUGAAGACGCCUAGGACCUCUCUGGGCCCGGGAGGCAACGGUCCCUCAGGUCACUGACCUGGAAAGGAGGCAAGGAGACGAACUUCACAUGAAGAAAAUAAACGUGCCGAGUAGCCGCUUGGGGAAGAUCACCAGGCAGCAGGGGCACCACGGUGCAUUCCUCAUGAGCAACGGAGGGGCGUUCCCGGGGCUCUGCGUCACCGUCAGCCUUCCGCGUGGUCAGGGCUUCUGGAUCUUAGCCAUUCCAAUAGGUAGGCAGUUUAUAUUUUACAUUUUCUAUUAUAUUUAUAUUUAAUAGUUGUUUGCAUUUUUAUUUCCUUAAUGGAAAAUUACGUUGAGCAUGUCUUCAUAGGCUUAUUUGUCAUCCAGAGGUCUUUUUUUUUUUUUUUUUUUUUUGCCUGUUUAGAUCUUUCGUCCGUUUUAAAAAUUGGGUUGCGUGUUUUCUUAUCCUUGAGUUUUUAAGAUUUCUUUCCUUAUUCUGGAUACAUGUUCUUUAUUAGAUUUGUGAUUUGUAAAUAUUUUCUAUCAGUUGGCGGCUUAUCUGUUAAUUCUCUUAGGGGUAUCUUUCAUAGAGCAAACUGUCAACUUUUUGAUAAAGUCCAAUUUAUAUAGAUUUUUCUCUCGUGGAUUCUGCUUUUGGUCUUGUGUGCAUGUAAAACUCAUCCCCAAACCAAAGAUCAUGCAGAUUUUCUUCUGUUUUCUUCCAGAAGUUUUAUAGUUUUGGGUUUUACCUUUAGGCCUAUGAUCCAUUUUGGGUUAAAGUUUGUACAAGGGGUGAAGUUUGUUUUUGACUUUAAUUUUGUGACGUAUGGACAGACAGCUGUUCCAGCACCAUCUGUCACGAAGAUUCAUUCUCCACCGUAUUGCAUGGCUCCUUUGUCCAAACUCAGUGGACUUUGUUGGUGUUGGUCAGUUUUCUGAGCUCUCCGUUCUGUUCCUUUCUCAGAACAUUUGCCUCCUCAGAUCCUUGUAAGGCUGGCUUCUCACCGUUCAGGGUCUCAGGGCGAGCGUGACCCUUUCAGAUGAGGCUUUGCUAGUCACCAACCUAGACUGGGCUCCCUUCUCUCCUCAGUGUUAGGUCGUACAAUCCUGUCCUGUCGUCCCUGGAGCACUUGCUAGCGCCUGAAAUAGCUUCUCUAUUCUCUCGUUUUAAAUUGAGGUGUAUGUGGGGCAUUUGGCUGGCUCCGUCAGGAGAGCGUGUGGCUCUGGAUCUGGGGGUCGUGAGUUUGAGCCCCACCCCCUGGGUGCAGAGAGGACUUAAAUAAAUAAAAGAAUAAAUUGAGGCGUGCUUGACA
rnacentral:lncRNA from 1 species